AUGCCAUGAUGAGGAAACCUCUUGAGCAGUUCUUUGAAUCUUUCCCAAGCCUCAUACAGACUCUCAUCUUCAAGUUGAUGGAAAUAAGUAAUCUCAUUCCGUAAUUUU
rfam:Citrus sinensis cultivar Ridge Pineapple sweet orange scaffold01258_contig_2, whole genome shotgun sequence.